rnacentral:rRNA from 1 species
UACGUAGGGUGCAAGCGUUAAUCGGAAUUACUGGGCGUAAAGCGUGCGCAGGCGGUUCUAUAAGACAGAUGUGAAAUCCCCGGGCUCAACCUGGGAACUGCAUUUGUGACUGUAGAGCUGGAGUACGGCAGAGGGGGAUGGAAUUCCGCGUGUAGCAGUGAAAUGCGUAGAUAUGCGGAGGAACACCGAUGGCGAAGGCAAUCCCCUGGGCCUGUGACUGACGCUCAUGCACGAAAGCGUGGGGAGCAAACAGG